rnacentral:rRNA from 1 species
AACGCGAAGAACCUUACCUACUUUUGACAUCCUGCGAAUCCGACUGAGAGGUUGGAGUGCCGAAAGGAGCGCAGAGACAGGUGCUGCAUGGCUGUCGUCAGCUCGUGUUGUGAGAUGUUGGGUUAAGUCCCGUAACGAGCGCAACCCUUGUCCUUAGUUGCCAGCAAGUCAAGUUGGGGACUCUAAGGAGACUGCCGGUGUUGAACCGGAGGAAGGCGGGGACGACGUCAAGUCAUCAUGGCCUUUAUAAGUAGGGCUACACACGUGCUACAAUGGGGCGUACAGAGGGUCGCCAACCCGCAAGGGGGAGCCAAUCUCGUAAAGCGUCUCGUAGUCCGGAUUGGAGUCUGCAACUCGACUCCAUGAAGUUGGAAUCGCUAGUAAUCGCGAAUCAGCACUGUCGCGGUGAAUACGUUCCCGGGCCUUGUACACACCGGAGUGC